rnacentral:rRNA from 1 species
AGUGAACGCUGGCGGUAGGCCUAACACAUGCAAGUCGAACGGCAGCACAGUAAGAGCUUGCUCUUACGGGUGGCGAGUGGCGGACGGGUGAGGAAUACAUCGGAAUCUACUUUUUCGUGGGGGAUAACGUAGGGAAACUUACGCUAAUACCGCAUACGACCUACGGGUGAAAGCAGGGGAUCUUCGGACCUUGCGCGAUUGAAUGAGCCGAUGGCGGAUUAGCUAGUUGGCGGGGUAAAGGCCCACCAAGGCGACGAUCCGUAGCUGGUCUGAGAGGAUGAUCAGCCACACUGGAACUGAGACACGGUCCAGACUCCUACGGGAGGCAGCAGUGGGGAAUAUUGGACAAAGGGCGCAAGCCUGAUCCAGCCAUACCGCGUGGGUGAAGAAGGCCUUCGGGUUGUAAAGCCCUUUUGUUGGGAAAGAAAAGCAGCAGGUUAAUACCCCGCUGUUCUGACGGUACCCAAAGAAUAAGCACCGGCUAACUUCGUG